rnacentral:ncRNA from 2 species
AAAAGAGUAAGAGGCGAGCGUUAAGUGCUGAGUGGAUGGGAUGUUGCCCUCAGACGAAAAAGCAAUUGUGUUUUGCGACUCCUCUCUGCAUCCGCUUGA